AAGGAAUAUUGGUCAAUGGACGCAAGUCUGAACCAGCCAUGCCGCGUGAAGGAUGAAGGUCCUCUGGAUUGUAAACUUCUUUUAUAUGGGAAGAAAUCCCGGAAUUCUUUCUGGGUUGACGGUACCAUAGGAAUAAGCACCGGCUAACUCCGUGCCAGCAGCCGCGGUAAUACGGAGGGUGCAAGCGUUAUCCGGAUUCACUGGGUUUAAAGGGUGCGUAGGAGGGCAGGUAAGUCAGUGGUGAAAUCUCCAAGCUUAACUUGGAAACUGCCGUUGGUACUAUCUGUCUUGAAUAUUGUGGAGGUGAGCGGAAUAUGUCAUGUAGCGGUGAAAUGCUUAGAUAUGACAUAGAACACCAAUUGCGAGGGCAGCUCGCUACACAUAUAUUGACUCUGAGGCACGAAAGCGUGGGGAUCAAAC
rnacentral:rRNA from 1 species